UUUCCCAUUGAUGAAAACAAGCCAGACAGCGGACAAAGAAAGAUAUGGUGACUUGAAAGUAGGGAUGACUAAUGAAGUUCAGACCGGAAGCCCUGUGAGGAGAUAGGAUGGCUGGGAUAAGACAGCUAAAAUGUGUUUCUGAAAAGCCACCAAGAAGCCAUGACUGAUUCACUAGAGUCAUUCAUCCACCAAUUUCCAGUUGUGAGAAAAGAUAUUUAGAAGAUCAUAAACAGGCUACAUCUGCCAUUAUUAACAAUGCCACUGUAAACAUCUAUGUAAGGCCUGGUGCAGUGGCUCAUGCCUGUAAUCCCAGCACUUUGGGAGGCCGAG
rnacentral:lncRNA from 1 species